AGUGAACGCUGGCGGUAGGCCUAACACAUGCAAGUCGAACGGCAGCACAGUAAGAGCUUGCUCUUACGGGUGGCGAGUGGCGGACGGGUGAGGAAUACAUCGGAAUCUACUUUUUCGUGGGGGAUAACGUAGGGAAACUUACGCUAAUACCGCAUACGACCUACGGGUGAAAGCAGGGGAUCUUCGGACCUUGCGCGAUUGAAUGAGCCGAUGGCGGAUUAGCUAGUUGGCGGGGUAAAGGCCCACCAAGGCGACGAUCCGUAGCUGGUCUGAGAGGAUGAUCAGCCACACUGGAACUGAGACACGGUCCAGACUCCUACGGGAGGCAGCAGUGGGGAAUAUUGGACAAUGGGCGCAAGCCUGAUCCAGCCAUCCCGCGUGGGUGAAGAAGGCCUUCGGGUUGUAAAGCCCUUUUGUUGGGAAAGAAAAGCAGCAGGUUAAUACCCCGCUGUUCUGACGGUACCCAAAGAAUAAGCACCGGCUAACUUCGUG
rnacentral:rRNA from 1 species